CCCGAAUUCUCCCUCGGCUCUCCCGGCCGAUUCGGUGCUGCUCGGCGACCACGUGACACAGACUGCCUUUGACCCCUGUCUCGGAGCGGAUGAGUCCCCAGAGCCCGGCACAUAGCAGCAGGUGACCUUGUGCAAAUUUCUUCUGCCAGUGAGCCUCAGUUUCCCACCCACAGUGUCAUUUCAACCACCUCCACCACCCUGCAAGGGCAGCAUCGCAGUGCUCAUCCUCACCAAACGGAUGGGGACCAGGAGGCCCAGAGCCCCAGAUCAAGAUUUCUGGGAGCCUCAUGCACAGUGAGAGCCCCGGCCUACGCUCGGAGCUGACUGCUCCAGGCAGGGACUUCUUCCGAUCACUGAGGCAGCCUACAAAUGGGGGGAAGGAGGAAUUUAAUUAGUGAGCCUGAAGGAGCUUGCUAGUAUGCAGAUUACCAGGCCCCUCCCCCAGAGAUACUGCUUCCAGAUGGGUCCAAGAUGAGGCUGGGCAAAUCUGGAAAACAGCGCAUUGGUGUCAAAGACCUUCAGAGGCUCAAGAUCAUCUAACUGGAGGAGCAAAGCUCAAAAACAUGAACAGAACAGAGCAAAGAGAGGUAGAGAAGCCACAUCUGACCCCGAAAGCAGGACAGACUCAUCCUGGUCCCCCUCAAAUGCAACCUCCUUUCGGUUUUCAGAGCUGCUGCUCACCAAGCUGGAUUCAAGGCCCUCCAGCUCACCGUCACCCGGAAGGCCUGGAAGGAGGCAAGGCCAAGUGUCCCCCACCCCCAGGGAAGGCCUCCGUGGGUCGCAGUGAGGCUGAGGACUCGCGUAUCUAACCACACCCUGGGAGACUCCGGGAAGGCUGUCCUGCUCCUCCUCCCUCUCAGGACCCACCCACAUCUCCCAGAACUUUGGGGACCUUCUCUGUGCUGACAAUCACCGCUGCCCAAACCCCUCCUCAGCCCUAAAUGGCCUCCCCCUGCCCACUGAACACUCCCUUGGCCGUCCCAGGACACCUUUCUCCGGCUUCACAAGUCAAAGGCUGGACUCGUGGUCCACCCAUUCAUUCCUGUGAGCUCAAUUCAGAAAUCCGACACCAGCCCCUUGUCCCCAAACCACCCAUUCACGAGCCAGUCCCACUGGUUCAGCCUCCAGCUUUCUCCCUAACCCACCCUCAGUUCUCCAUCCCUGCCACCCUAGUCCAAGCCACCAUCUUGUCUCUGCCUUGUAUUAAUGUCUUGUCUUAACGGCCUCUUAAACACUCUCCCCGCCUCCUGCUGUGUCGUUCCGAAGCAAUCUCCUCGCACCCAAUUCCUACUUAAAACCACCAACAGCUUCCUACUGCUCUGAGAAAUGAAGCAACUGAGGCCCAGGGAGCGGGGAGCAGGAGCAGGGGCCUGCCCCCGUCGCUGGUGUCGUGGCUGCGCUGGGACCACCGGGGAGGCUCCUGCCUGUCACUCUCCCCACUGCCCAGCCGCGUGUGUGCAUCAGAAGCUGAGAAAGAGGUGGCACCAGUACGGCGAGGCCCACAGGGUCAAGUCUCAACACCAUUCCUGAGCCCUUGCAGAUGUGCCAGCAUGGGGGGCAGGGAGGGGCAGAGUGUUGAUUCCAGUGUUGGCUCUGGGAUCUUGGCCAGGUGGCCAGACUCUGUCUGGGGUUAUUUGCUCCAACAGGCAUGGAGAUUCUUAUCAUUCCAAGGUCCUCCAUUCACACCCACCUGUAGCUGAGGUUGGGAGAGGGAGGUGUGGGGGAACUGGCAGGGUUACACCCCCACACACAGGGCACAGCUGCACUGAUCCACUCGUAAGCGGGGCCUCUGCUCACCCCCACCCACCACCCUCCAUUUAGUGGUUAGAGCUUUGUGGUAGGUUAGAGGGUCGUCCCAAUACGCCAAGGUCGUGGGCUCCAUCCCCAGGCAGAGCACACACAAGAGUCAUCCAAUGAAUGCGCAAGUAAGUGGAACGACAAAUCUCCCAUCU